rnacentral:tRNA from 1 species
GCGCCGGUAGUGUAAUGGUGUAGAACAUUCCCGUCCGGUCAGCAGUGGGUGAGAGUUCGAGUCUCGCCUGGCGCU